rnacentral:rRNA from 1 species
UGCCAGCAGCCGCGGUAAUACGGAGGGGGCUAGCGUUGUUCGGAUUUACUGGGCGUAAAGUGCACGUAGGCGGCGUAUCUAGUUGGGGGUGAAAGGCCCGGGCUCAACCCGGGAACUGCCUUCAAUACUGAUAUGCUAGAGUUCAACAGAGGGAAUCGGAAUCGGUUGUGUAGCGGUGAAAUGCGUAGAGAUAACCGAGAACACCAGUGGCGAAGGCGGAUUCCUGGGUUGACACUGACGCUGAGGAGCGAAAGCUGGGGGAGCGAACAGGAUUAGAUA